rnacentral:rRNA from 1 species
GACGAACGCUGGCGGCGUGCUUAACACAUGCAAGUCGAACGGGUCUGCCCUGUUUUUUGCGGGGUGGGUCAGUGGCGAACGGGUGAGUAACACGUGAGUAACCUGCCCCUCACUUCUGGAUAACCGCUUGAAAGGGUGGCUAAUACGGGGUGUUCUGGCUGUGCCGCAUGGUGUGGCUGGGAAAGAUUCACUUUUGUGGUGUUUUGGUGGGGGAUGGGCUCGCGGCCUAUCAGCUUGUUGGUGGGGUGAUGGCCUGCCAAGGCUUUGACGGGUAGCCGGCCUGAGAGGGUGGGCGGUCACACUGGGACUGAGAUACGGCCCAGACUCCUGCGGGAGGCAGCAGUGGGGGGUAUUGCACAAUGGGCGGAAGCCUGAUGCAGCGACGUCGCGUGAGGGAUGGAGGCCUUCGGGUUGUGAACCUCUUUCGCCGGUGAAGAAGGUCCUGCUCUUUGUGGUGGGGUUGACGGUAGCCGGGUUAUGAAGCGUCGGCUAACUACGUG